UGAGGGGGGCUGCUCCUAGUACGAGAGGACCGGAGUGGACGCAUCACUGGUGUUCGGGUUGUCAUGCCAAUGGCACUGCCCGGUAGCUAAAUGCGGAAGAGAUAAGUGCUGAAAGCAUCUAAGCACGAAACUUGCCCCGAGAUGAGUUCUCCCUGAGACUUAGAGUCUCCUGAAGGAACGUUGAAGACGACGACGUUGAUAGGCCGGGUGUGUAAGCGCAGCGAUGCGUUGAGCUAACCGGUACUAAUGAACCGUGAGGCUUAACCUUACAACGCCAAAG
rnacentral:rRNA from 1 species